rnacentral:rRNA from 1 species
GGGUUGUGAGGUUAAGCGACUAAGCGUACACGGUGGAUGCCCUGGCAGUCAGAGGCGAUGAAGGACGUGCUAAUCUGCGAUAAGCGUCGGUAAGGUGAUAUGAACCGUUAUAACCGGCGAUUUCCGAAUGGGGAAACCCAGUGUGAUUCGUCACACUAUCAUUAACUGAAUCCAUAGGUUAAUGAGGCGAAC